GACGUAGGGGGCGAGCGUUGUCCGGAUUCAUUGGGCGUAAAGAGCUCGUAGGCGGCUUGGCAAGUCGGGUGUGAAAACUCCAGGCUCAACCUGGAGACGCCACCCGAUACUGCCAUGGCUUGAGUCCGGUAGGGGACCACGGAAUUCCUGGUGUAGCGGUGAAAUGCGCAGAUAUCAGGAGGAACACCGGUGGCGAAGGCGGUGGUCUGGGCCGGUACUGACGCUGAGGAGCGAAAGCGUGGGGAGCGAACAGG
rnacentral:rRNA from 1 species